rnacentral:rRNA from 1 species
UACGAAGGGGGCUAGCGUUGCUCGGAAUCACUGGGCGUAAAGGGUGCGUAGGCGGGUUUUUAAGUCAGAGGUGAAAUCCUGGAGCUCAACUCCAGAACUGCCUUUGAUACUGAAAGUCUUGAGUAUGGGAGAGGUGAGUGGAACUGCGAGUGUAGAGGUGAAAUUCGUAGAUAUUCGCAAGAACACCAGUGGCGAAGGCGGCUCACUGGCCCGGUACUGACGCUGAGGCACGAAAGCGUGGGGAGCAAACAGG